AGUUACAAGUAGUGCUAGCAUUUGUUUCUUGCUUCACGUUCUCUGUCCCCUUUUCUCUUUCAGAGCAAAUCUUCUGGUGAUGUAAAAAUAAAGAAGGAAAAGGAAAAUGGUUUCUCCAGUCCGCCACGUAUUAAAGAUGAACCUGAUGAGGAUGGCUAUUAUGCAUCUCCCAAGGAGGACUCCAAACCCCUAAAGAGACCUCGGGAGGAGGACGAUGAUGAGUAUAAACCCAAAAAAAUCAAAACAGAAGAUACCAAGAAAUCAAAGAAGAGGAAACAGGAGGAGGAAGAGGACAACAAAUCCAAGAAAACUAAGAGCAAAGAUAAGAGAGCCCCUGAAGGAGACAACAAGAAAAAGAAGCAGAAGAAAGAGGAAGAGCAAAAGUGGAAAUGGUAAUAUCUCUGUGAUAAAUUAACCUUUUGUCAUGCUCUGCUUACCUUCAACUCCGUUAU
rnacentral:lncRNA from 1 species